rfam:Dipodomys ordii contig_86206, whole genome shotgun sequence.
GGGAAGAUGGCUCAGUAGUAGAGCACUUGCCUUGCAUGCAUGAGGCCGCGGGUUCGAUUCCUUAGCACCA